CACACCGUCUCUGAGCAGUAAAUCCUAUCUUACUGGCAUUCUCCAGGUCUACCUAACCGUGACUCGAGAUGGACAGAUACGUUACUCAUUGACUGAAAUUGACUGAAAUAAUUUCCAUGAAAAGCCCAAAAGCAACAAUCCAUGAGUCCAUCUUUCACGGUGCUGUCAGCCUCUUGCCCAUUUGUUCAUACUGAAAACAUACCUACCUGCUACCUGUAUGCAUUUAAAAACAGCUCAUGAAUGUACAGUUACAUUUUAUUAAGUAUUUAAAAAUGUAUACAAUAUUUAGAAAUGUUUUAAGUAAAUUCUUAAAACAGUAGAAGUUUUUAGCUAAAUGUAUUUUAAACAAGAGUUUGUUUUCAGGCAAAGAUUUACAGGAGUAGAAAAACGUAUGCGAUAAUUUAUAAAUAAACUACACGGCCCAUGUUGAUUGUAAUGAAGGAACAUGUUAUCGUUUAUUAAGUUUUUGGACAACAAUGGAGCUCUAUGGCACGGAGGAUUAGCCAUAUCAGGUUUUAGCAACAUAAAUAAUACUUGUAAGUAGGAUCACUUCAUUCUUGUUGAUUAGAGAUCUGAUGGGCCUGUUGUAAUGUGUAAAACAACAAAGUAACAUAACUCUAUUAAAGCGGUGGGGAAUGUCAGAUUUUCAGAUUCUUAUAAACAUCAUAUAAAAGUUGAUUUACAUGGAGAUAAACUUUUGCAGCAAUCAAAGAGAUACUGUGACUGCAAUAUAAUGAGCAAACUAUGUUAUUUGUGUUGCUAGGGGCAACCGAACACGGAACCAUAGCAGUGUUGGUUAAGACGCGCAGGGCUGAGCACAGCGGGUUGCACCAACCGAUGGUCCAGGGUGUGUCGUGGAGUUCCCAGUUGACACACACACUGAUCUGUCUGCUGAAGUGGCGUCUGUGUGUUUGGACAGCCCUGUCUACAAAAGGUUAAGUUCCCACGCUACAAAAUUGCAUUGUGAAUUAUGUUUCGUUGGCAAUGUAUCUUGUUGUGGAUUACACUUGCAUUUGAUAUAUCACAAAUACAUUUGGUGGCUAUGCCACAACAAAGGGCUUCCAAUCAGGAGACGGCUGGACGUGUCAUUAAGUUGUAGUUUUGUUCCCUAAACCUAACCAAGGGUUAGUUGUUGUGUUUUUGUUUUGUUUUGUUUUAAUUUCUUAGUCAUAUUAAGUCAAACCAAGAUUUGAUUUUACUAACUAAGUACCUUUGUUGCAUUUUUUGUUAACCAGGUGUUUGAAACGGUUUAAAAACUGCAACCAUUCGGUCAGAAAACAAAUACGCUCCCCUGUAAUUGAGAGUGCAGUUUAGUCGUAUGGGAUUGUCACUUUGGAGGAGUUGGUUUGGGAGGUUAACGUACGCAUUCACCAAGAACAUGAUCACCACUUCACAGACAGAAGACAGUGAACUCACAUAUACGUACACUUACACCUGCACACAGACUAUGCAACAGUGGUUUCAGGAAUCUCUUGGCACGGCACCAACGGCAGCCUGUUCACACAGUCUCAACACAACGAGGCUGUAACUCAAGAGGUCCCUUAAAAAGUCCUUAUUGUACAUCCCUCUUCAAAUUGCUCCUUCAGUGAUAAACUCAAGCACAGAGCUGCUUUACGGGGCAAAAACACCAAAUACCAACCUGUGUUGGAACAUCUAGAAGUUAUCCUGCUCUGUCUCUUUUCAACACACAAGUGUUCAAAGCCUGUUUUUAUUGAGGAAACCCAUAAAAGCAUCUGUUAAACAAACACUUAUUAUGGCGUUUUGCUUCCUGCUGCCCCCUAAAGAAUGACUUCCUUUAGCUAUAGAAAAAGGUUGUGACUUUGACCACAGACAUCUGCAGUCUAUAUUGUAUAUUACAGUUCCACCUCACGUCAACAGCACGCUAUUUUUAGCCGGUCCUGUCUUUGCAGGGCCCGGCUGUUUGUCUCCCACUGACUCUCUCUCUCUCUCUCUCUCUCUCGCUCCCUGUAGCGCUCCCACUCCCUGUCCUGAGAGUGCUUAGGCCUCGCCUUUGUGGCCUUUGUUUGUUCUGGAUUGACUCCUCCGACUUGCCUGGCCAUGAAUCUGUUCUUCCACCCCGACAUCCUUCCCUCUGCCUCCUCACCGAGUGAAGCUUUAAAGUGCACUGGAGUCUCUGACACAGCUGGAUCCUGUCUCCACUCCAUUGUGGGAGCGCCAGGUCAUGUUCAGUAGUCAACUGGACCGAAGCCAAAGAUCAUCUCAGGCCAAAGUGAGGAACUUUUACCACUGUAAUGAGGCCUCGGCUUGGCUGUAUUUUCAAGGACCUCUCUUGGUUGCAGAGAUUCACACUUUUUGAAAACAUAUUAUAUUAUCUACAUAUUUUAUUGACUGUUGUACACCGUCACUGACCGCUGACUGAUAACUCUUAACCAGCCGCUAGAGGCCACAAGCUAUAAACAACUGCUUUAAACUCUUGUUUACAUACAAUUAAGUAUUGUUUCUUUAUUGAUUAGCACGCCGAGAUAAGACAAUUGCAUGUGUGUGUGUGCGUGUGUGUGUGUGUGUGUGUGUUUAACCAACAAAUGACAAACUGGACCGAGUGCUGACAGUUUGUGACACCCGUGAGACGCAGUUGAAACGCAAACCUGCACAAAGCCGGUGCAGACAGCUGUGUCGAUUAAAUUGAGAGCUUAUCUGUUGUCUAAGAUGUGUGAGUGAAAACUAUAGC